CCCUGUAGCUAUACUGGAUUGAAUGUGCUUUAACCUGUCUGAUCUUGGAAGACAAGCCAUCUAGGGCUUAGGUAAUAUGUGGAUGGGAAAUCACUUUGCAAUCCCAGAAGCCAGAGA
rnacentral:rRNA from 1 species